UAAGGAAUAUUGGUCAAUGCCCGGAAGGGUGAACCAGCCAUCCCGCGUGAAGGAUGAAGGGGCUCUGCCUUGUAAACUUCUUUUGAAUGGGACGAAAAAGUCUCACUUGUGAGGAACUGACGGUACCAUUAGAAUAAGCACCGGCUAACUCCGUGCCAGCAGCCGCGGUAAUACGGAGGGUGCAAGCGUUGUUCGGAAUUACUGGGCGUAAAGGGCUCGUAGGCGGCCAACUAAGUCAGACGUGAAAUCCCUCGGCUUAACCGGGGAACUGCGUCUGAUACUGGAUGGCUUGAGGUUGGGAGAGGGAUGCGGAAUUCCAGGUGUAGCGGUGAAAUGCGUAGAUAUCUGGAGGAACACCGGUGGCGAAGGCGACAUCCUGGACCAAUUCUGACGCUGAGGAGCGAAAGCCAGGGGAGCAAACGGGAUUAGAUACCCUCGUAGUCCCUGAGCGGGCUGGCAAGGCGCAU
rnacentral:rRNA from 1 species